CUGACCUACUGAGUAAGACUUCUCCAACCUUCCAGCCCAGCUGCCAGCUAAAUGCAACUGAGUAAACACCCCCACCCACACCCUCACGCUUCUCUUGAUACAGGACAGCAGCUCUCCGAUGCCAGCAAUACUGCCUGCUGGGGAAGGCCAACCUGUUCUCUGCAGUCCUGAGAGGGCAAGACUGGACACAACCUCUGUGCCCAUCCUUCGGGGAGUGGGCCUCCGCCUGCAGGAGCAUGCGCACAAGAGAACACUCAGCAGCCACGAGACAGAGCGGGGUUGCCACACAUAUAAACCUGGAAGUGACAGUCACUCAGGGGAUCUUCCCAACCCAGGGAUCGAACUCGAGUCUCCUGCUUGGCAGGCAGAUUCUUUACCAUCGGAGCCACCAAGGAAGCCCAUAGACCUGGAAAGGAGAUCGUCAUGUGUAAAGGAAAAUAAAGCGCUAAACAGGAUGUAUGGUACUGCUUGGCUUUUAUCAAAAGUAUUGAUAUGUGCUUCCAUUGACAGAAAAACCUGGAAGUCUUCGUGGUCAAUUCUG
ensembl:lncRNA